rnacentral:rRNA from 1 species
GAGGACACAUGAACAUUGACAUUUUGAACGCAUAUUGCGGUCCAUACUGACUAGUUUCUUAACCGAAGCUGUAUGGACCACACAUGGUUGAGGGUCGUUAGUUUACGCUAACUAAAUUGUCUUUGGUUUACUACCGAAGGCGACAUCAUGAGGUGUUGGUAGCCUUCAGUGUGCUACCAUCCCUUGAAAAUGCCAAAUAUCAUAAUUGGCACACAGUAUAUAUUUAUGUAUAUAUUGUGUGUGUGUAAAUGAUAGAAAAACAUGCGCUUUACGUGUUUACAUCAAUGGAAACAGAUAUUUUUCCAGACAGCCAUAUUAUUUUAAAUAUGUUUGUGGUGAAACUAGUAAAAUUUGAUUAAGCGUUAUGAUUUUAUAACGUAUUUGAAUGCUAUCUGAACGUUUCUAACAACCAUAUAAUAUUAAAAUUUAUAUUUGGCUUAAAGAAAAUAUUUAUUCGAUUAAUUUCCAUUUGAAUAAAACCAUAAAAUUCUGAAUAUAUUUGAAUGCAUAUAUUUCGAACGCACAAUGAAUUUUUGAAAGCGACAUGAUAUUUUACUUUGCACAUGCACAUAUAUAAAUUCUUGAAAUGAAUAUAUAUUUUGAUAAAACAAUUUAAAGCGACCUCAACUCAUGUGAGACUACCCC